AGGGAUUGGGGCACGCUAGUGCACACCUCAGCUGUCUGCAGGGCGCACGGACGCUGCUGCCAAGUGAAGUUCGUGCUCCGUCAAGCGCUGCCGGUGAAUUCGCACACUUUCUGCUUGCUGCAGCUCCCGGGAAAGUCAACCCCCUCCGUUCCAGACGUGAGAGGAGUUUUCUCCUGGUUCAAGGACUACCUCCGAGAUUUUCGUUUCCAAGAAUCUUGGGUUUCCUUGGCACUGAUGGGCCAAAGAGUCAGAACAACUCACACCAGAAUCCAGCCAGGCAAUCACCUGUGGUAAACAAUCUCCAAACACAUUCCACACGUGAGCACAGCACAGGAGAAGCCAAUGAGCAAUUAAAAUAAUUACACUCUGUCAAGCUACAUCUUUUCACCCUGAUUAAAGACAGAGCUGUAUGGAGCAAACACAUCAACUUGUCUGUUGGCAGGUGAAAGAAGAAUGCAGAGCAUGUCUGAAACCAUACUGAUAACUUCACAUUGAGUAUUACACAGGCUAAGAAUUCAUCCUGUAUGCUUCUUCUAGAAAAUAAACACUUUAUUAAGAAAAUUAUUUAUUCUGUAUAUCCUUAAACCCAGAUAGUUUUACUUAUAAAUCAAAGCUAAUGGUUUGGAUCCUGUCUCAAAAUUAAUUACUGGUGCAUUCUCUUAAACCUGGUUGUAUUUGCAAGUAAGUACCUAAAAUCAAAGAUGAAAAAAAAUCUUUGAUCAUUAAAAGCAUAUACAGUUAUGUUUAAGUUAUUAGUGCAGAUGAUUUGGCUGUUUACAACAUAAUUACUGAUUCGACUAUAAAAAAAAGAACUGCAAAUUGUUUCAUGCCAAUUAACAGUAAAUAAAUUAUUCCA